rnacentral:tRNA from 2 species
GGCCCCAUAGCUCAGUUGGAUAGAGCAGCCGCCUUCUAAGCGGCAGGUCGCAGGUUCGAAUCCUGCUGGGGUCGCCA